rnacentral:rRNA from 1 species
GAUGAACGCUGGCGGCGUGCCUAAUACAUGCAGGUCGAGCGAACGGACGAGAAGCUUGCUUCUCUGAUGUUAGCGGCGGACGGGUGAGUAACACGUGGAUAACCUACCUAUAAGACUGGGAUAACUUCGGGAAACCGGAGCUAAUACCGGAUAAUAUUUUGAACCGCAUGGUUCAAAAGUGAAAGACGGUCUUGCUGUCACUUAUAGAUGGAUCCGCGCUGCAUUAGCUAGUUGGUAAGGUAACGGCUUACCAAGGCAACGAUGCAUAGCCGACCUGAGAGGGUGAUCGGCCACACUGGAACUGAGACACGGUCCAGACUCCUACGGGAGGCAGCAGUAGGGAAUCUUCCGCAAUGGGCGAAAGCCUGACGGAGCAACGCCGCGUGAGUGAUGAAGGUCUUCGGAUCGUAAAACUCUGUUAUUAGGGAAGAACAUAUGUGUAAGUAACUGUGCACAUCUUGACGGUACCUAACCAGAAAGCCACGGCUAACUACGUG